rnacentral:sRNA from 1 species
AAAGAAAGGGAUUUGCCUAAAAUCACACAACAGGUAAAAUGAGGCCAAGAUUGAAUUUAGUUAUUUGGAUCUCAGAAUCGGCUUUCCUAAUAGCAGCUUUUCCCCAUACACCUGCACUACUCUACAAGAGAAUCCACAGAGGAGCAAGGAACCAAUGAGUUUAGGUGGCUAGCGGGACACCAAGGAACCAGUGAGUUUGGGUUGCUAGAGCGACACCUGGGAAUCCCUCUGGCUCCUGUAACCACUGGUUCUCCAAAUGGGUUCCCUAGUAACAUCCCAGGAGCUAGUUAGAAAUGCCUGUGCCUGGACCCCACCCAGAGGUACAAGAUGUGGAACACAGGUUCCUCCAUGUUUCAAUCUACCGUGAAUUAACGAGCCACCAGUCCCGAGCCCUCAGCCUCCGUCUGGGUUAGCGUAACAGUGCUGGGAGACUGGACUUUGCUACCUGUCCCUCUGGAUGUUCCCUUGCAAAGGACUGCCUGUGUCAUCGUCACCUGAUGGAUGGGAAAGCAGUAGGUGCCAAACUCCACCUAGAAGAGCGAUGUGGCAGUGUUUGGCUGAGUCAGUGGUGCGAAGUGUCUGGUCAUGGGAUGAAGGAUUACCACGUGCUGCUGAUCAAUUUCUCCUGGCUGCCACUCUCUCUUUUCCCUGGAUAUGUGUGGACAUCAACCAGCCCAGCCCAUUGUGAAUAUCAACCGGCUCCAACACUUGAGAGAGAGCAUUUGAUCCCUUGGAAAAACGUAGUCUCUGACUUUCUCAGUGCCUGUACUGCCUUAUAUCCAUCUUUAAUGAGAUGCAAAUAGCUUAUGGGAAUUAAGGCAAUUAACACAGGCAAAUGGAUCUUGCCUGGUGUGAGGUAUGUGAUAGGUAUGCGCAGUAUUAACACCAGUAACACUUCUUAUAGUCCUCCGGAAUGUGCAUGUUGCUUACUGAAGAGCGAACACUAUAGUAAUAGCAAUGUGCCGAAGGAAGCUAUUUAUCUGGUUCCUACUCCCAUCCAUGGCUCGACCUUUCCCCUCGCUUGUCAUAAAGAGAUUGUAUCUCCUUUAUAAAUAUCCUUAUGUUUUCAAA